ACUGUGUGUGCAUGAGGAAGAUUAUUUUGGUAGCUGUGUGAAGGAUGGUUUGGAGAGGGUGGGCGCUGAAAUCAGCAAGAUUGGUUGGGAGGUUCUUCAGAGAUGUGGUGAUAAAGGCCUGGACUAGAGGAGAGAAGAGCUGAAAAAAGACCUGGAAGAAGGCCAGACACACCAAACUACUGAAGAGAGACCCUGGCUCACUUCCUCUCCACAUUCUCCUCGACUAGAGUACAGGAAAUGACUAAUUGUACCUACCGGGGGGAUCCUAGGACAAAGAAGAGAGCGUGAGCCCUGCUUUACUCACUCCUUUCGACGUGCCCUCUCUGAGUCUCAGUGCCUAUGCCUAAAAGCAUCCAGAACCCCCUGACGCUGAACCAGCUCUGAUAAUGUGUGAGUUAACCUCAUCCCCUGUGUGUACAUCCCUGGAAAGUAUUCUGCCAAGGAAACAUCAUGAAUAUGGCUGAAAACAUCAUGCUAAACAGCAUGGGAGAAAGCACAAAGCCUUGCUUCACUCCAUUGGUGACUGGGAAAACGUGAGAAGAUUGUCCAAAUACUGAUUAAUUUCUCCAGGCGACCAAAUUUUGCCAUGAUUUGCCACAAGUCCUCACUACUGACGGUGUCAAAGGCCUUGGUCAGAUUGAUGAACACUGUGUACAGACCUCUAUUCUGCUCCUGGCGUUUCGUCUGGAGUUGUCAGGCUGCAAACACUAUGUCGACCGUCCCAAGGCCCUUUCUGAAGCCAGGCUGGCUCUCAAGUAGAUGACCAUCUUGCAGGUGAAGGAUCAGACUAUUAAGGAAGACUCUGGCAAGAAUCUUGCCAGCAACGACCAAGAGAGAGACCCCAUUCCCACCACGUGAUUGUCACAGGACAACCUAUUUACUUUUCCUUUAAAGAGAUGGACA